CACGAAGUUAGCCGGGGCUUCUUCUUCCGGUACCGUCAUAAUCUUCCCGAUCGAAAGGAGUUUACGUCCCAAGGGACUUCAUCCUCCACGCGGCGUUGCUGCGUCAGGGUUUCCCCCAUUGCGCAAAAUUCCCCACUGCUGCCUCCCGUAGGAGUCUGGACCGUGUUUCAGUUCCAGUGUGUCCGUGCGCCCUCUCAGGCCGGAUAUCGAUCACAGUCUUGGUAGGCCAUUACCCUGCCAACUAACUAAUCGACCGCGACCCCUCUUUCAGCGCAUUGCUGCUUUGACUCGUAAGUGUUAUGCGGUAUUAGCCCAGGUUUCCCUAGGUUAUCCCCCACUAAAAGGUAGUUAGUCACGUGUUACUCACCCGUGCGCCACUUUACUCAUGGAUUGCUCCACUUUCUCGUUCGACUUGCAUGUGUUAGGCACGCCGCAGCGUUGAUCUGAGCAGGAUCAAAACUCU
rnacentral:rRNA from 1 species